AAGUCUCUAAAAUUCUCUGAAGGUUUUCAGAAAUUCUUCACCAUGACAAAUCCCCAAGACAAUCCUGGAACUCCACCACCUGUUUCACCCAACACUACCUCAUCUUCCACACCACCAUUUGAAACCCUAAAACCAAGAUUCUAUCGCCAGAAAAUUCUAGCAAGAAAAACUAUAGCUACUGGUUCUCUGAGGAAAGCUUUGAAUUAAAA
rnacentral:lncRNA from 1 species